UCAAGACGAACGCUGGCGGCGUGCCUAAUACAUGCAAGUCGAACGGAGAUAUUCGCUGAUGAAGUACUUCGGUAAUGAAUCUUGGAUAUCUUAGUGGCGGACGGGUGAGUAACGCGUGAGCAACCUGCCUUUCAGAGGGGGAUAACGUUUGGAAACGAACGCUAAUACCGCAUGACAUUAUCUUAUCGCAUGGUAGGAUAAUCAAAGGAGCAAUCCGCUGAAAGAUGGGCUCGCGUCCGAUUAGGUAGUUGGUGGGGUAACGGCCCACCAAGCCGACGAUCGGUAGCCGGACUGAGAGGUUGGACGGCCACAUUGGGACUGAGACACGGCCCAGACUCCUACGGGAGGCAGCAGUAAGGGAUAUUGGUCAAUGGGGGAAACCCUGAACCAGCAACGCCGCGUGAGGGAAGACGGUUUUCGGAUUGUAAACCUCUGUCCUCUGUGAAGAUGAUGACGGUAGCAGAUGAGGAAGCUCCGGCUAACUACGUGCCAGCAGCCGCGGUAAUACGUAGGGAGCGAGCGUUGUCCGGAUUUACUGGGUGUAAAAGGUGCGUAGGCGGCCUGGCAAGUCCAUANUGAAAUC
rnacentral:rRNA from 1 species